rnacentral:misc_RNA from 1 species
CCCAUUUAUCGCGAAACUUGUCCAGAGUCUGAUCAACAACUUUGCCAUGUCAACGUUUAGUUCUCUGUGGUAAUCUUGGGCGGGAAACAUCAAUUUGAAAUCGUCACCGUGCGUAACCCCGACUUCGAAAGGGUACGGGAGUUUGAACGAAAAUGGAUCGUCGACGAGAUAAUCGAACGUAUAGACAAAUUGAACAACUUACGAGAUAGCCGAUGCUGCAGUUGAGGAUUUCGUCGACGGGUAACGCUUUCAUGCAGUUUUUUCUUCUCCUUUUCCGCAAUUAAACAACCUGUACGCUGCCACCUGACAGCCAGCCGUACGAUAUAUCGCGAGAUUUUCCCUGAGUCCCGAAGAAGAAGGUGGGAAAGCUGGGAGGCGGAGGAGAGAGGUGGCC